rnacentral:rRNA from 1 species
CCUACGGGAGGCUGCAGUGAGGAAUAUUGGUCAAUGGCCGUAAGGCUGAACCAGCCAAGUCGCGUGAAGGAAGAAGGACCUAUGGUUUGUAAACUUCUUUUAUAGGGGAAUAAAGGUAUCCACGUGUGGAUAUUUGCAUGUACCCUAUGAAUAAGCAUCGGCUAACUCCGUGCCAGCAGCCGCGGUAAUACGGAGGAUGCGAGCGUUAUCCGGAUUUAUUGGGUUUAAAGGGUGCGUAGGUUGUUUUUUAAGUCAGCGGUGAAAGUUUGUGGCUCAACCAUAAAAUUGCCGUUGAAACUGGAAGACGUGAGUGUGUUUGAGGUAGGCGGAAUGCGUGGUGUAGCGGUGAAAUGCAUAGAUAUCACGCAGAACUCCGAUUGCGAAGGCAGCUUACUAAGCCAUAACUGACACUGAAGCACGAAAGCGUGGGGAUCAAACAGGAUUAGAUACCCUAGUAGUC